UAGGGAAUCUUCGGCAAUGGGGGGAACCCUGACCGAGCAACGCCGCGUGAGUGAAGAAGGUUUUCGGAUCGUAAAGCUCUGUUGUUAAGGAAGAACGAGUGUGAGAAUGGAAAGUUCAUACUGUGACGGUACUUAACCAGAAAGGGACGGCUAACUACGUGCCAGCAGCCGCGGUAAUACGUAGGUCCCGAGCGUUGUCCGGAUUUAUUGGGCGUAAAGCGAGCGCAGGCGGUUAGAUAAGUCUGAAGUUAAAGGCAGUGGCUCAACCAUUGUAGGCUUUGGAAACUGUUUAACUUGAGUGCAGAAGGGGAGAGUGGAAUUCCAGGUGUAACGGUGAAAUGCGUAGAUAUAUGGAGGAACACCGGUGGCGAAAGCGGCUCUCUGGUCUGUAACUGACGCUGAGGCUCGAAAGCGUGGGGAGCGAACAGG
rnacentral:rRNA from 1 species